CCUACGGGAGGCUGCAGUGGGGAAUAUUGGACAAUGGGCGCAAGCCUGAUCCAGCCAUGCCGCGUGGAUGAUGAAGGCCUUAGGGUUGUAAAGUCCUUUCGGCGGGGAAGCGGUACCCGCAGAAGAAGCCCCGGCUAACUUCGUGCCAGCAGCCGCGGGAAUACGAAGGGGGCUAGCGUUGCUCGGAAUCACUGGGCGUAAAGCGCACGUAGGCGGACUCUUAAGUCGGUGGUGAAAUCCUGGAGCUCAACUCCAGAACUGCCUUCGAUACUGAGAGUCUCGAGUCCGAGAGAGGUGAGUGGAACUGCGAGUGUAGAGGUGAAAUUCGUAGAUAUUCGCAAGAACACCAGUGGCGAAGGCGGCUCACUGGCUCGGACUGACGCUGAGGUGCGAAAGCGUGGGGAGCAAACAGGAUUAAUACCCCAGUAGUC
rnacentral:rRNA from 1 species